rnacentral:lncRNA from 1 species
AUUGGUUAUUUAAAAAAAAAAGAAAAAAGAAGAAUCCUGCUGCUUUCAGUAUUUCCUGAUUUCAUAUUUGUAAAUAUUAAGAGGAACUUCAAUUAUGAAAUAUUUUAAAAAGAUAGAACUUGUUUUUCAUAUAAGUCUGAUAUUGGUUCGUGGCCUAGUGCCUUGGGUUUUACAGACUUUUCCUUUUAAAUGCAAGACCUUUUCAACAAAAUAGUGUUUGUCAUCAGUUUGGUACUAAACAUUUAUAAUUACUGUGUAAUUAUAAACAAAACAAUACAUAAAGCUUUGAAUAUAAUUAUGUAGCAUAAAAGU